AAGAAAAGUUAAAAAGAUGCAACUUUGCUGGCUUUGAAAAUGGAGAAUAGGCCAUAAACAAAGGAAUGGAGCAGCUGCAAGGAGCUAAAAGACAAAGAAACAGAUUUCCCCCUAGAACCUCCAGAAAGGAAUGCAGCCCAGCUGAUGCCCUGAUUUUAGUCCAGUGCAACCUGUUUUGGACUUCUAACUUCAAGAACUGUAAGGAUGGUAGGACCUACAGAUUCUUGAUUAGAUUAUAGAUGCAAAAAAAGAACCUGGAAUUAUUCCCCAAGAAGCUCCUUCUUCUGAAACCAAGAGGGGACUACGUGAUUCUAUCUGAUGACAACCAGUCAGUGAUCUCAGGUAUAAAAUGCAAUGUCCUAUUGUAACAAUGGCUGGCAUUACACCCAACAUCUAGAAGAAAAAAACAAUGAUGUCAG